rnacentral:rRNA from 1 species
GGCGGCGUGCUUAACACAUGCAAGUCGAGCGGAAAGGCCCUUCGGGGGUACUCGAGCGGCGAACGGGUGAGUAACACGUGAGUAACCUGCCCCUAGCUCUGGGAUAAGCCCGGGAAACUGGGUCUAAUACCGGAUAUGACACACUUUUGCAUGAUGGUGUGUGGAAAGUUUUUCGGCUGGGGAUGGGCUCGCGGCCUAUCAGCUUGUUGGUGGGGUGAUGGCCUACCAAGGCGACGACGGGUAGCCGGCCUGAGAGGGCGACCGGCCACACUGGGACUGAGACACGGCCCAGACUCCUACGGGAGGCAGCAGUGGGGAAUAUUGCGCAAUGGGCGGAAGCCUGACGCAGCGACGCCGCGUGGGGGAUGAAGGCCUUCGGGUUGUAAACCUCUUUCACCACCGACGAAGCUAACGUGACGGUAGGUGGGGAAGAAGCGCCGGCUAACUACGUGCCAGCAGCCGCGGUAAUACGUAGGGCGCAAGCGUUGUCCGGAAUUAUUGGGCGUAAAGAGCUCGUAGGCGGUCUGUCGCGUCUGCCGUGAAAACCCGAGGCUUAACCUCGGGCCUGCGGUGGAUACGGGCAGACUAGAGGUAGGUAGGGGAGAAUGGAAUUCCCGGUGUAGCGGUGAAAUGCGCAGAUAUCGGGAGGAACACCGGUGGCGAAGGCGGUUCUCUGGGCCUUACCUGACGCUGAGGAGCGAAAGCGUGGGGAGCGAACAGGAUUAGAUACCCUGGUAGUCCACGCCGUAAACGUUGGGCGCUAGGUGUGGGGUUCUUCCACGGAUUCCGCGCCGUAGCUAACGCAUUAAGCGCCCCGCCUGGGGAGUACGGCCGC